UGGGGAAUAUUGGACAAUGGGCGGAAGCCUGAUCCAGCAAUGCCGCGUGUGUGAAGAAGGCCUGCGGGUUGUAAAGCACUUUCGGUGGGGAGGAGAGGCCUAUGGAUAAUACCCAGAGGAAGAGACGUUACCCACAGAAGAAGCACCGGCUAACUCUGUGCCAGCAGCCGCGGUAAUACAGAGGGUGCAAGCGUUAAUCGGAAUUACUGGGCGUAAAGGGUGCGUAGGUGGUUUGGUAAGUUGGGUGUGAAAGUCCUGGGCUUAACCUGGGGAUUGCGCUCAAUACUGUCAAGCUAGAGUACUGUAGAGGAAGGUGGAAUUUCCAGUGUAGCGGUGAAAUGCGUAGAUAUUGGAAGGAACAUCAGUGGCGAAGGCGACUUUCUGGACAGAUACUGACACUGAGGCACGAAAGCGUGGGGAGCAAACAGGAUUAGAUACCCCUGUAGUCC
rnacentral:rRNA from 1 species